GACGAACGCUGGCGGCGUGCUUAACACAUGCAAGUCGAGCGAUGAAGCACCUUCGGGUGUGAAUUAGCGGCGAACGGGUGAGGAACACGUGAGAAAUCUGCCUUCAACUCUGGGAUAACUCCGGGAAACCGGGGCUAAUACCGGAUAUGAGCCUUGAUCGCAUGAUCGGGGCUGGAAAGUUUUUCGGUUGAAGAUGAUCUCGCGGCCUAUCAGCUUGUUGGUGAGGUAAUGGCUCACCAAGGCGACGACGGGUAGCCGGCCUGAGAGGGCGACCGGCCACACUGGGACGGAGACACGGCCCAGACUCCUACGGGAGGCAGCAGCGGGGAAUAUUGGGCAAUGGAGGAAACUCUGACCCAGCGACGCCGCGUGAGGGAUGAAGGCCUUCGGGUUGUAAACCUCUUUCAGUAGGGAAGAAGCGAAAGUGACGGUACCUACAGAAGAAGCACCGGCUAACUAUGUGCCAGCAGCCGCAGUAA
rnacentral:rRNA from 1 species